CCCCCUCAGCCGUGGGAGGCUUGCGGUCCGGUCCCCUCGCCCUCGGGCUCUCGCUCGCCUUCCGGUUCCGCCUCUCACCUGCCCCGAGGUGUCGGGGCGGGACGGGCCACCUGGAGAGGAGGAAGAGCCUUAGAAACCCGGAGUCAGGAAAUCUGCAGUGUCUUCUGGGUUCUAGCAGGAUCUGUUGUCCUGUCGUUACAAGCUCUGCUUGCACUCAGAGAGUACCACCUCUGGCACCACGGCCACCUCCCGUGCCCAGGCCUCAUCGUCCCUCUGACAGAGAGCGAGGAUCUCUUGGCUCUGAAGGAAAGCAGCUACAGGCAGCCCCUGAGCCCCUUUUCUCUGACAGAUUUCAGAGCCAAGAUCCUUAAGGGGGGACGUGGUGGGCAGUUCGACAUGAACAGAGCGAGGACGCUGGGCCAGCUGCAGGAGGUCACCGCGGUGGAAAGCCCCGGGUGGGACCUCGCCCCCAGGUUGUAUUUCAGCUCCAGGCCCAGAAAAAGCAACAAAACCAGCCACAGCGGAGGCCAGGACCAGCUGCAGGGAAUAAUGACCCCGCCCUGGUGCCGGCCCAUCAAUCCGUGGAGACCACAACCUUGAAAGGACACACCUGGGAAGCUGCUGGGCCUUCUGCUGAGAUCUUCCCCUGGGACCUUCCCUAAAAUCUCCACCUUAAAGCCCUUAGGACUGAGACCCAAGUUUGUCAGUCCUCCCGGGAGCCUGUCCUCCCUCCCGGGAGCCGCCCAAGCCUUUGCCCUUUCCCUGGCCCCUCCCCUGCCCCGCAAGCACAUUGCCAUCACCUUCCUCCUUCCCAAGCCCUAAGAGAGCUGUCUAGAACUUGUUUCCUAGGUUUACCAAAUAAAUGUUCUCUUAUUUAAAAACAAAAUCUAAGAAGAUUUUUUAAAAGCGGAGCCCAGCAGCCAUUUCUGCACAGGGGCCUCUCAGCAGACGCCACUCCUCGGAGCAGCUCCUCUGUGCUGGGCGGCCUGCCUGCCGACGCACCACCUGCUCCCUGCACGCAGUCAGCCCUUUAAAGGCCUCCUAGAGCCCUAUUCCAGCCACCAGGACGGAGGCGGCCCCUGUGCAAUCGGAUAUGGGAAGGGGUCGUGCAUCAGGGGUUUGUGUGUGUCCCACGGGGCCCUAAGGAGGGGAGCUGGAGUCAGUGGACAGAAGUCAGGCGUAUUUCAGCCCAACGCAGUGAUUUCCAGCAAGCGAUCGAAAGAUGGAAUCGCACUGCCUCUGCAGGCGGUGAGCUCUCAAUCUGGGCGUCCCAGUGCCGUCCGAGUGGCCACUUGGUGGGAGUGUUGUAGAAGGAAGUCCUCAGACGGGGAGCUGAGCCAGGAUGUCGCUUUACUACGAACCCCCAAAACAGGGAUGUUACGCCCAAAGAACCAUAAGCGGACCACAGGGCAAUCCAAGACAGUUUGGUGUGUAAAUAAGUGAAAGUCAAGAAAUGCGAUCUUACUGAAAAACCAGGGAAUAGGAGGGUUUCAUUAUUGUUCACAUUAUAUUAGUAGUGCAUUUGGUUGGUUUAAAACAUUUUUUUUUUUUUUAGUUUUAAAAAUUGAUUCUCAGAGAGAGAGGAGAGGAGAGAGAAACGUCACACACACCCCAACCGGGGAUCGAACCUGCAACCCGGGCCUGUGCCCUGACUGGAAAUCGAACUGGUUCACAGGUCGACGCUCAACCGCUGAUGUGCCAGAGCCUGUGCCAGGCGCCAGGGGUCAAGCAGGAGUGAUCCCGUCACCAGAAGUGCCACCCGGGUCCCGAGGCGACAGAACAAAACCUCUGAGCUAAAAUGAUGUGUGAAGGACACAGGCAGGUCAACCCGGGAAGAAGGAAAAGCAAGCCUGCAAGCAGAAAAAGGUGCCAGUCUGUCUGGAACACCCGCGUCCAUAAAGGGCUGCCCCGCGCCAGCGUGUGCAGAUAGGUGGAAGGUUCUAGACUAGAGACAUGCGCGCCACGAAAUGACUCCAACCCUGAAACCCUUUGCCCUGUGCACGGCAGAAAAAUGAUCGUGUGAAGUUGUAAAAACGGGAAGGAUGAGACGAGCCUGGAAAUUAUCCAAUUAAAGGAAGGAAGAUUGCAGACUCGCUUCGUCACCUGAAGGGAGAGAGGAGGCCUUACACAACGGGAGGAGAUGAUCACAUCGCUUAAGUGGGCAUUGAUCAAUGUGUUGGGCAGGACAAGUGGAAAUGUUUUUUUCUUAAAUAAUUCAAACCUGACAGAACCUGGCAAAAGAACCUAGCUAUGAUGAUCAACUGAAAAAAAAAAUAAUAAUUCAAACCUGCAGGCUUCCAACCCCGUGGAAGGUAGCAGAAAGGUCUGCUCCCUCUAUAAAAACUUGUGGUGCCCCAGCGGCGAAGGAGGAGCAUUUAAAGGAGAAAUAAGUAGAACUCACUCCCCGUCUGCAGCUGAGAGCGAUGAAGGAAGGCCCAGCUGCUAAGUACACAGUAGCCUUCAGCUGAACCCCUGGCGGAAGGAGAAGGAAAUGCCAUCCGCCUGCUGACCUGGAGGAGAGCAGACUUAAACCACAUAAUGACAUUAUCAUUUUACAUUAAGUAAAAAUGUCUUCGAACGUUCAAUACUUGUCAAAACCUCUGACAUGUUUCCAUGGCUGGUUGUUCAUUUUUCCCCCGAACAAGUCGAUAGAGGGCGCGGUGGGGGAGGCCCCUGAAAUGGAAAGGGCACUACGGUUAUGGGCGUGUUGAUGGGAUCCUAUCGUAAUCGUGCCGUCGGAUAACGUUGUUGUCGUGGGGAAGCGGUGUGCUUAUUCCAUCGGAAGCGGCACGGCACAGCGUGAAGCCAGAGGUUCCUACCGUCUCCGCUGGCUGUGUAUCAGUUUUAUGGCCCUGGGCAAGCGACUUCGCUCUUCUGGACCUCCUGUUGCAUAAGAUGACGGUGCAGUACUUGCUGGUGUGGCUGCUUCAGGGAUGAAAUGAAAAGCAGGUCUGGGAGCCCGCGCUGGUUUGGCUCAGUGGAUAGGGUGUCCGCCUGAGGACUGAAGGGUCCCGGGCUUGAUUCUGGUCCAGGGCACAGGCCCGGGUCGCAGGCUCCAUCCCCAGUGGGGGGCGUGCAGGAG